GAUGAACGCUGGCGGCGUGCCUAAUACAUGCAAGUAGAACGCUGAAGGAGGAGCUUGCUCUUCUGGAUGAGUUGCGAACGGGUGAGUAACGCGUAGGUAACCUGCCUGGUAGCGGGGGAUAACUAUUGGAAACGAUAGCUAAUACCGCAUGACAACAGUUAUUGCAUGAUAACUGUUUAAAAGGGGCAACUGCUCCACUACCAGAUGGACCUGCGUUGUAUUAGCUAGUUGGUGAGGUAACGGCUCACCAAGGCGACGAUACAUAGCCGACCUGAGAGGGUGAUCGGCCACACUGGGACUGAGACACGGCCCAGACUCCUACGGGAGGCAGCAGUAGGGAAUCUUCGGCAAUGGACGGAAGUCUGACCGAGCAACGCCGCGUGAGUGAAGAAGGUUUUCGGAUCGUAAAGCUCUGUUGUAAGAGAAGAACGAGUGUGAGAGUGGAAAGUUCACACUGUGACGGUAUCUUACCGGAAAGGGACGGCUAACUACGUG
rnacentral:rRNA from 1 species